AAAGUGGCGCCAAAGUAUUACGCAAAUGGCCUAUAGGGGGUCGUUAAAUUCGGCUGUAUGCUGGAAACCCAGAGCCAACAGGUCCAUAAGCCAGCGCGGCGAAUGGAAAAAUCCUGGAGGCAAUGAGGGCAAUCAGCAGGAAACUUCAGCAAAUGCAGGAGGAUCCUCAGAGACUAUACGCCGAACAUCCGCAGUUGCGGAUGAUGAUAUAGUCCGACACUCCAAGUAAUUGGAGA
rnacentral:ncRNA from 1 species